UCAAAACUAGCCAUUUGUUUUCUAAUUGGUUCUUAAUGCGUUAAAAUUUUAUAAGAACCAAUUUGAAAAUAAUAAGUGGCUAGUUUUGA
rnacentral:pre_miRNA from 1 species